rnacentral:rRNA from 1 species
CCUACGGGUGGCAGCAGUGGGGAAUAUUGCACAAUGGGGGAAACCCUGAUGCAGCGACGCCGCGUGAGUGAAGAAGUAUUUCGGUACGUAAAGCUCUAUCAGCAGGGAAGAAAAUGACGGUACCUGACUAAGAAGCCCCGGCUAACUACGAGCCAGCAUCCGCGGUAAUACGUAGGGGGAAAGCGUUAUCCGGAAUUACUGGGUGUAAAGGGAGCGUAGACGGGAGCGCAAGUCUGAAGUGAAAUCCCAUGGCUUAACCAUGGAACUGCUUUGGAAACUGUGCAGCUGGAGUGCAGGAGAGGUAAGCGGAAUUCCUAGUGUAGCGGUGAAAUGCGUAGAUAUCUGGAGGAACAUCAGUGGCGAAGGCGACUAUCUGACACAUAACUGACGCUGAGGAGCGAAAGCGUGGGUAGCAAACAGGAUUAGAUACCCUGGUAGUC